GCACCUCAGGUUCGAGGAUUUCCAGGUCCAAUCACCUCAAAUUUAAAGCAUCCAGGUCCGAUCGCCUCAGAUUCAAGGAAUCCAGGUCCAAUCACUUCAGAUUUAAAGAAUCCAGGUCCAAUCACCUCAGGUUCGAGGAUUUCCAGGUCCAAUCACCUCAAAUUUAAAGCAUCCAGGUCCAAUGGCUUUAGAUUCAAAGUGUCCAGGUUCUCUCAGCCACGUGUUAGAGUUACCUCGAUAUUUCGCGAGUUAUUUCAAUCGAUCGGAGGUUGACUACGAAAAUGGAGAACGAAUGCCAGGGCUACCUGGACCGCGGGGUCGACCCGACGUUCUUGUUUACAUCACGAAGGGAACCGGUGAACGCGACGCGAUGCGACGGUCUAUCGUCACGGACCGCUUGCG